AAUGGAGGGAACUCUGAUCCAGCAAUUCUGUGUGCACGAAGAAGGUUUUCGGAUUGUAAAGUGCUUUCAGCAGGGAAGAAGGAAGUGACGGUACCUGCAGAAGAAGCGACGGCUAAAUACGUGCCAGCAGCCGCGGUAAUACGUAUGUCGCGAGCGUUAUCCGGAAUUAUUGGGCAUAAAGGGCAUCUAGGCGGCAUAUCAAGUCAGGGGUGGAAACUUACGGCUCAACCGUGAGCUUGCCUUUGAAACUGAUAUACUAGAGUGUUGGAGAGGUGGGCGGAACUACACGAGUAGAGGUGAAAUUCGUAGAUAUGUGUAGGAAUGCCGAUGAUGAAGAUAGCUCACUGGACGACAACUGACGCUGAAGUGCGAAAGCUAGGGGAGCAAA
rnacentral:rRNA from 1 species